CUGACAAUGUACAGGUCCCCAUUGUGAAAGAAAGGUCACAAGUCAUGGUUUGCGCCUCUUCUGAUGUGAUUCUGAAGCAGAAUGACAGUGCCAGUCGAAUAGAAAUAUCCAUGUCCUCAAAUCACCAACAGGAUGGGAGCGUGCUGCUCACACACACAGAGAACUGUGUGGCUUUAGAGGGGCUAGAAUCAGAUCUGCCUGACUGUAUGGUCCAGCAUGUACAAGAGUCCAUUCCAGCUGAUCAUAAACCCUCACAGAUUCAGAUAUGCCUGAAUGAUACUGCAGAUAUCGUGAAUGUGGAAGAGAGGCAGGAAGUGAGUGCAGAGCCUCUCAAUGCUGUUGAGGUGAAAGAUUUGAUCGAUGUAGGUAUUCUAAUGCAGCCACAUAUGGAGGAUACCUGGCUGGUUGUAAGCGAGAUAGAUGGGCAGUCUGAGCAUGCAGAGAUGGAGGUCAGCGAGGCAUCUCUGGUGCAGUGCCCUGAAUCCCAGUCAACUGUUGCUGUAUAUGAAUGCACUGUGCCCUGCUUUACAUCAGCUGCCCUUCACAGUGAUGUUAAGCUGCUGUUAACUGACAAAGAAGAGGAGAAACCAAUGGAAACAUUGACGCAAGACUCACAAGCCCAGAGUAAUCUAGGGAAUCAGACCUCAUCUCGUCCUGAUGCACUCAAACCCACAGAAGAGUUACUUACCAUGGCCUCUACACAAAAAGAAGAAUCUAUAAUUGUCAAGCAAAAUGAUGAUUCCAGUCGGACAGAUCUUGCAAACACGUUGACAGGGUUAACAUGCACGGUGAUGGACGUCACACUUGACUCUGUGCGAGAACAGCAAGAAUCUGUUGUGGUGAAAAACACACCAGGAUCUCAGCCACGCAGGACUCACCUGUCCCGGUUGGAUCACCCAGUGAUGGAUUAAGUAAAGCUGCAGAGUGCCUUGCUAAAACUGAUACAGCUGCAUCAUCCACCAUAAAGGAGGAUGCUAUCUUGCCUGCUGAUCGUCCUGUCUCAAACACUCUCUCUCAGUCCUCUCGGACUGUUUCCACUUCUAAUGUACUUUCAGAGAACAGCUCAGAGAAAGAAAACUUAAAUAAAUUAAAUAGUUCUGGCA
ensembl:lncRNA